rnacentral:tRNA from 1 species
AGGAGAAGUGGCAGAAUGGUUAUGCGGUUGACUUGAAAUCAUCUGAUAAGGGUUUAAUUCCCUUCUUCUCUUA